rnacentral:rRNA from 1 species
UCCGUGGCUCGAAGAGCGAACGCUGGCGGCAGGCUUAACACAUGCAAGUCGAACGGGCGUAGCAAUACGUCAGUGGCAGACGGGUGAGUAACACGUGGGAACGUACCCUUUGGUUCGGAACAACACAGGGAAACUUGUGCUAAUACCGGAUAAGCCCUUACGGGGAAAGAUUUAUCGCCGAAGGAUCGGCCCGCGUCUGAUUAGCUUGUUGGUGAGGUAAUGGCUCACCAAGGCGACGAUCAGUAGCUGGUCUGAGAGGAUGAUCAGCCACACUGGGACUGAGACACGGCCCAGACUCCUACGGGAGGCAGCAGUGGGGAAUAUUGGACAAUGGGCGCAAGCCUGAUCCAGCCAUGCCGCGUGAGUGAUGAAGGCCCUAGGGUUGUAAAGCUCUUUUGGCGGGGAAGAUAAUGACGGUACCCGCAGAAUAAGCCCCGGCUAACUUCGUG